GAUGAACGCUGGCGGUAUGCCUAACACAUGCAAGUCGUACGAGAGUUUUUAAUUCUAGUGGCGGACGGGUGAGUAACACGUGAGAAUUUACCUUUAGGAGGGGGAUAACAAUUGGAAACGAAUGCUAAUACCCCAUAUGCUUUCGAGUGAAAUGGAUUUUAUCCGCCUAGAGAGAAGCUCGCGGCUGAUUAGCUUGUUGGUAAGGUAAUGGCUUACCAAGGCGACGAUCAGUAGCUGGUUUGAGAGGACGACCAGCCACACUGGGACUGAGACACGGCCCAGACUCCUACGGGAGGCAGCAGUGGGGAAUUUUCCGCAAUGGGCGAAAGCCUGACGGAGCAAUACCGCGUGAGGGAUGAAAGCCUGUGGGUUGUAAACCUCUUUUCUCAAGGAAGAAGUUCUGACGGUACUUGAGGAAUAAGCAUCGGCUAACUCUGUG
rnacentral:rRNA from 1 species